rnacentral:rRNA from 1 species
GACGAACGCUGGCGGCGUGCCUAACACAUGCAAGUCGAACGAAGCUCCAAACUUUGAGUUUUCGGACAAGAAGGGCGGAAGACUUAGUGGCGGACGGGUGAGUAAUGCGUGAGCAACCAACCCUGGAGUGGGGGACAACAGCUGGAAACGGCUGCUAAUACCGCAUGAAGUGCGAGGGAGGCAUCUCCCAUGCACCAAAGAUUUAUCGCUCUGGGAUGGGUUCACGUCUGAUUAGCUAGUUGGUGAGGUAAUGGCUCACCAAGGCUGCGAUCAGUAGCCGGACUGAGAGGUCGAACGGCCACAUUGGGACUGAGAUACGGCCCAGACUCCUACGGGAGGCAGCAGUGGGGAAUAUUGGGCAAUGGGCGAAAGCCUGACCCAGCAACGCCGCGUGAAGGAAGAAGGCCUUCGGGUUGUAAACUUCUUUUAUCAGGGACGAAGGAAGUGACGGUACCUGAUGAAUAAGCCACGGCUAACUACGUG